rnacentral:lncRNA from 1 species
CGCUCCUCUCCUCUCAUACCUCCUUCACUCUAAGCAAAUCAGGUCAACCUACCUUCAAAAAACACCCAAAUGUCACCUCACAUCACUUCUCUCAUGGGCUGGUGCAUCCACUCCCUUCCACUGGCUUUCUAACUUGGAGGCUCAUCCCCUUAAGCUAUACCCUGCACAUCAGGUAAGUGAAGGAAUGCUUCCAGUCUUUCCAUCACAUCAUAUCUCAAUGGUGCUCAAGACCUUUCCAUGGUUCCCUAUUUCACUCUAAAAAAAAAAAAAUCUAUGGUGGCCAGAGAGGCCUUGUUUGCUUGGGACUCCUGACUUUCUAGGCCAACCUCCAUCGAUGUCCUAUCAGGCCUUGACCUCAUUCAUGACAGCAUUAUGGGUUCUUUAAUACAUCAGGAACAUUCCCACUGGGCCCUCUGAAUUGGUUGUUCUGCUACCAGGAAUGCUCCCUCCUCUGAGCCCAGCCAAGAAUGAAACACCUCGCCUCCCUUUGAGACCUGUGCAAGAGUGCCCAUCUCACAGACACUUUGAGACCACCUUAUUAAUCAGAGUACCUCAUGCCUUACCUGCUUAAUACCUUCUAACACACUCCACAACGCUUUAUUUAUGGCAUUUAGCAUCUACCACUGUCUCCAUUCACUAGAACAUAAGCAUCCUUGAUCUUGGAUACAUCUUGGACUCAAGGAGACAUGACAGGUGUUCAUCAUCUACUCCUGGAAUGAGUUGCUACCUUUCACUCUUUAUGCUUUUGUGUCUCCUUCUGCCUCAGCCCAGGAACCCUAGGAGGAUAGAGAUGGACCUUAUACUGUUUUGCUGUGUCAACAGAGCAGGCAAAGUUUGAGAAACAUAAAUGAAUCAAUGAAGAAACCAAUGCACAUGCACUCUGCCGAGCCCUGAGGCGAAUCUCUUCCUCUCCUUCCAGCAAGGACAUUGUCCUGUUGCCAUCCUCUUAUUUCAAGUAAACAGAAGUAACGUGAUUUUUUUCUUCUCUUCAACUGAAUUUUGGAACACCACCAUCAAUUUCUCUUUUCACACUGGGGAGGGAAGGAGUAAGCCAGAAAUUAAAAAUAGACCACUACACUCAAACCCUACAAUAGGUCUUACUUCUUGGAGGCUUGCUGAUCUACAGGAUACUGUGUCUGUCCAUUGCAAAUCCAAUUCAAAUUGCAAACACAGGGUAGAGAAAACUGCACAGUACACACCAGAAAAUAUCUCUGCCGCAGAGCUAUCCAGAAUCACACGACCCUCAAGCCAGGCUCACAACUCAGGUACACUUUUAUUGCAAUGAUCACGUCACACUCAAAGCUCAACAUUAAGACUUGCUCCUGGGGUUUUAAAGUACAAGAGAGAGACUGAAUUUUCCUUGAAGAAAAAUUAAAAUAAGUAAUUAUGCCUUUGGGGGGUGCGCCUACAAAAGUUCCUUCAAGGCUCAAUAUCUGCAGCUUCUCUUA